CCUACGGGAGGCAGCAGUGGGGAAUAUUGGACAAUGGGGGCAACCCUGAUCCAGCCAUGCCGCGUGUGUGAAUAAGGCCCUCGGGUUGUAAAGCACUUUCAGUGAGGAAGAACGCCUGUUGGUUAAUACCCAUCAGGAAAGACAUCACUCACAGAAGACGCACCGGCUAACUCCGUGCCAGCAGCCGCGGUAAUACGGAGGGUGCGAGCGUUAAUCGGAAUUACUGGGCGUAAAGCGCGCGUAGGUGGCUUGAUAAGCCGGUUGUGAAAGCCCCGGGCUCAACCUGGGAACGGCAUCCGGAACUGUCAAGCUAGAGUGCAGGAGAGGAAGGUAGAAUUCCCGGUGUAGCGGUGAAAUGCGUAGAGAUCGGGAGGAAUACCAGUGGCGAAGGCGGCCUUCUGGACUGACACUGACACUGAGGUGCGAAAGCGUGGGUAGCAAACAGGAUUAGAUACCCUGGUAGUC
rnacentral:rRNA from 1 species